rnacentral:rRNA from 1 species
UACGUAGGGUGCAAGCGUUGUCCGGAAUCACUGGGCGUAAAGGGCGCGUAGGCGGCUCAUUAAGUCUGUGGUGAAAGUCCGGGGCUCAACCUCGGAUCGGCCGUGGCGACUCGUGGGCUGGAGCACUGUAGAGGCGGGUGGAAUUCCAGGUGUAGCGGUGGAAUGCGUAGAGAUCCGGAAGAACACCAGUGGCGAAGGCGGCCCGCUGGGCAGUGGCUGACGCUGAGGCGCGACAGCGUGGGGAGCAAACAGG